rnacentral:rRNA from 1 species
UACGGAGGGGGCAAGCGUUGUCCGGAUUUAUUGGGCGUAAAGAGCUCGUAGGCGGUUCGUCGCGUCGGCUGUGAAAUCCCGAGGCUCAACCUCGGGUCUGCAGUCGAUACGGGCGGACUGGAGUUCGGCAGGGGAGACUGGAAUUCCUGGUGUAGCGGUGAAAUGCGCAGAUAUCAGGAGGAACACCGGUGGCGAAGGCGGGUCUCUGGGCCGAUACUGACGCUGAGGAGCGAAAGCGUGGGGAGCGAACAGG